rnacentral:rRNA from 1 species
UACAUGGGGUGCAAACGUUGCUCGGAAUUAUUGGGCGUAAAGCGCGCGUAGGCGGUUACUUAAGUCGGAUGUGAAAGCCCUCGGCUUAACUGAGGAAGUGCACCCGAAACUGAGUAGCUAGAGUACGAAAGAGGGUCGCGGAAUUCCCGGUGUAGAGGUGAAAUUCGUAGAUAUCGGGAGGAACACCGGUGGCGAAGGCGGCGACCUGGGACGAUACUGACGCUGAGGUGCGAAAGCGUGGGGAGCAAACAGG